rnacentral:rRNA from 1 species
GACGUAGGUGGCGAACGUUAUCCGGAAUUAUUGGGCGUAAAGGAUGCGUAGAUGGUGUAGUAAGUUAUCGGUGGCAAAUCGAGGCUCAACCUCGUGGAAGUCGGUAAUGCUGCUAUGCUAGAGGAUAGGAGAGGUUAACGGAACUCCCUGUGGAGCGGUGAAAUGCGUAGAUAUAGGGAAGAACACCAAUCAGGCGAAGGCAGUUAACUAUUCUAUUCCUGACAUUGAGGCAUGAAAGCGUGGGGAGCAAAACGG